GUCAAAUGUGUAAUCUGGAACUGUUUAUUCCCUCUGUUGGCUGAAGAGGCAGUUCAGAUGACUGCCACGUUUGAAAUGAGAGAUUUGAGUUAUAUUCUUCUUCCAUGACCUUCAGUGUCUCUAGCUGUCUAUCUGAAGGACAGAAGAAAAGAAGAAAGCCUGAGUUGUGGCAUAGUGGUUUACUCUUGCCACUGAAUUGUCCUGAAUCCUUCCUGCAGAGAGCAAGGGAUGAAGGAGAGACGAUACACCAGUGUGAGCUUCUGCUGCCUUCAAAAAUCAACAAGAGCCUUCCCAGGGCAAGGCCACAUCUAUCCUUUAAUUCAACUGUACUUCAAGUUGGGGCCCAAACUUACUAG
rnacentral:lncRNA from 1 species